UUGGUUAGAUUGUCAGAAGAUAAGUUCCUGGUAGAUCCAGAACACCACAGGGUGGAUGUCCAGCUGGAAGAGACUGAUAUGGAUACAUAUCUUAACUCUAUUUUCCUGCCUCCCAGAGAACAAUCCCUUACAACAAUAGUUUUUUAAAAGGAAAAAGGAAAGCAUCAUGAAGGGAUCAUCAUGAUAAUCUAAUCAAAAUGAUGGAUACAUAAGGGGAAAAUCUGAAGUUUUUGCAAUAUUCCACUUCCAUGGAUACCUCCUCCAUUUGGAAAGAAGGACUAUGCCAGAUACAAUUCCAGUUUCCAUAGGAUUCUAGUGGUAUCACUCAAGGAUAGGUGGACUAGUCCAGGGAGCAUACUCCAAUCAAACUCCCCAGAAGUGACAAUCCCUGAAUCCCAGUGCUUCACUUCCCAAUGGAAUGCGUGAUGAAUUCCAGCCUAGUUCUGGGUAGUAGUUUCUAUGAAAUAAAGACAAAUGUCAAGUCCCAGAAAGAGGAAACACCGCUUUCACCUGUAUCCAGGGUGAGGUACUUUGCCUCUUCUUGGACUCGCUCCUCAAUGCUCCUCUUCCCCAUCCCCAAAUUCCUCAGAGUCAUGAGGGAGAAGCGACGGAGUUCCUUCCAUCUCUCACCUUUGCUAAAAACUAGCCCUGUGAGAAGCAUCAGAGAAAGAAAACAGGAGAUCGCUCAAUGUCUUGAUUUCCAGCAGAAGGCAAGUGGGAGAGAGAGAGGAACUGACACUCCAGGAGGCAUGGAAGUGAAUAACUGCAGACUUACAAGUUCUUUUGUGUCUCCUGCCCCAAAGAGUCUGGACUAAAGGAUUCUUGGCCCUUCAACCCCUGUUUUGGAAUAAUGAGCAUAAGUGUGGUAGUUCUCACUUUGCUUUCCCCUCUAUCAACACCAUUCCCUCUUCUAUCUCAUAACUUGGUUCUGUCAUAAUCACAGAUAAUCAGAGAUAAUCAGGCACUCAAUUCACCUCAUUAUAAAAUCUGGAGGCCAGAUCUGAUGUAUGUUUUAGAGAAACUAAAUAAUUAACCUCAUGUCUAUAUCUCAGUUUUGGUUCAGGGACUGUGAUGCCUUUUAAGGAAAGUUGAAAUUCUUAUAUACCUACUUUAUGAAAAAAUCAAAAUAGGCAACUCUGUUUCUAACAUUUUUGAGUUACUAAAUUCUGGCAAGUCACAAUAAAAAGAGGUGCUUUCCAUAGCAUCUAUUGUCCACUGCCACUCCCUAUAAUUAAAAUAUAAAAUAUAAUUCAA